AGUAUGCUUCAGGCCUUCAACGAUACUUGCUCAUGCUCUUGUUGUUGUACAUCAUGUAGUGCAACUACAACAAUAAUAUAUACCCGGCCCACAGGUCUACAACUACAUGUUUGUAAUCAUUCAAAAAAUACAAUUGCAAUUUAAUUCGAAAGAUUCACUAAGCUGGCUGAUAAUAUCUAAAUAUUGUUAGACAAACUUUCUCUGUGAACCAAUUCAUAGAAUUAUGAAUUGUCCACAGGUUUAACAAGUCCAAAACACAGACGACAGACGAAGAAGAAGGCAAAUACUUGGAAGAAAAGAAGCGAUUGUUUCCUUCCAAGAACUUAGGUAGGAGGAUAGGAUACCACAAAAUACUCUUUAACUUUUCUUUUUUGACUGAUUUUUAACUCUUAACUUUCUUUCACGACACAAAAGACCUUUCACAACUCUAUGUGGUCUUAGUUUAACAUUUCUGCAACCAAAACAUUCAUUACCAACGUGUUUUAAAUAAAGCACUUUGGCCCAUGAAUCAUAUUGGCAACGUGUUACAAUUUCAGUCUUUAAAAAUUAUAAGAGUUGUUGCUUUUGUUUUGUUUUGCACACCAUCAUUGACUCCUUCCUAUCUUACGCUCUCCACCUCUCAUCAAUGUACCCUGGAAUUUUUUUAUUCUAUAUAUCAGACCAUGUAUACAAAUGCAAGAGAACUUUGCUUGUGAUAGAAAAGUUUUUGUAGAAUAAAAAAAGAAACUGAUGGGUUUCUUCUCGAUUAUAUUUAGCUGCUUCACAAAGAACUCAUCUAGAUCUCGCGAUUACAUCUGCGACGGUGGUGUUUGUGUUCUACGAAGCUCCAACAAUCCGACACUUGACAAGGGUUAAUACAUCUCUACUAUCUCAGUUCUUGAAACUUGUUUGUAAUCUGCCUUGCUCUGUAUUUUUUCUCUUUUUUCUUUUAUUUUCCUAGAAUGCAAAUUGAAUGAAAUCUUUAUUAAGGAAGGCACAUAUCUGUUAUCCAAUAUGGUCUGAAAAUAUCAAGAAAUUAUUAAGAUAGUUUUUAUUUGAUCACUUAUAUACAGUUAUUAGGUGAAACUUCAAUACCUAUUAGUCCAUUUGAUCGUUUCCUUUUUUUUUGAGAAGUUGUUUUUGUAAACUGGAAGACUGAAUUCAAACUGAGCCGAUUUCAUAUAUUGUCUUGGUCCAAGAAGCCGCCUCGAAACAUGUUGUUUGUUGAGCGACUAGCUAGUCUCUUUUUUAGUCUACAGAGAUGCUGGUGAACGAGAUCACCAGCACGCAAGACCACACUUAUUCCCAUGCACCUCACCGACCACUCAUCCAAGCGUUCCUUUUCUCACAUUAAUUCUCUUAUUCUCUUUACGGAGUUGCUCUCUAAAUCCGCCACUCUCUUUACCUCUCCUCCUAGUCCUUCCACCAACACCGCGUAGGGAAUCUGAGCUGGGGAGGUAAUUAGAAGGAUGGUGUUUCAUAAAAUUAGACUUUUUUCACUUUCUGUUCUUGUAAGUCUUUGCAAAGAUAUUAACUAGUCUGCUUCUUUACUAUUCUUUCUGUUUCAUAAUAUUAAAUAGUUUAAAAAAAUUUGUUUCAAAGUAAUUUUCAUAUUUUAAUAUAAUUUUGUGACCAAACA